AGCUACCUAAAAUAAAAUAUUUCUUGGACCGGAAUAUGCGGGAGUGACAUGUUUUGCAUAUAAUCAAAAGCUAGUCCCAUCACUUCUGGUCGUUCAGUACAAAGGGUUUGCACUUCUUUAAUUUUGUUAUAAAACUUUUUCGCCCGCCUUUUAUGAACUAUUAGUUCAGCUGAAACCACUGUCUUUGCGUUAUCGUUAAGGUUAACAUCUUUAAGCCUCGUUCCAUGUCUUUCGCAUUCCGAACAUACAUCAACCUGGGGUCUUCCGAACUUCAAAUAGAAGUUUUCGUUGAAAUACUUUAAAUAGAAUUCGUAUUUAACUAAGUUUUCCAACUCUGGAUAUUUUUCGACAAAAAGGCUAUGCAUUUUCUUUACAGUCAAAGAUGCAUCUAAAUAACGUACGGUUUUGGAGGAAUAAUGUGAAACUUUGACCGGAAACGCCUGAAUGUGCUCUUUAAUUUUUUGAGUCCAUUCAUCGCAUAAUGUACGAGGUCUAUUAUUAUGCCUACCUCUAAGAUCGUUUGAUGAUUUACCUGCCAAAAGUAGGGUGUUCAGGCGCUGAACUUGCCAGUGCGAUAUGGCGUGAAGACUUAUAAAUGCUUGUUUGCAUACGGAAAUUCUAUUUGAGCCUUUUAAGACAAAGUACGAAAAGUUUGAUUUUCUUUCUUGUUUGUUUUCCGCACUUCUCACGCGAUUUCUCUCGAUUUGUUUAGCUUCCAUUAGUCCUUGUAAAUAGGUAAAUUAGUUAACACACUUUUUCUUUCUUCCUCAGUAAACUGUUCCAUGCAUUUCUUUGUACAACUAAAAAAUAAAACAGCUAUUUUGAUUUAAGCUCAACUUGUUGCUAAAAUUUACUAGCCUGACUUAUCCCU